rnacentral:rRNA from 1 species
ACAUGCAAGUCGAACGAACUUAACCAUUAGUUUACUACUGGAGCGGUUAGUGGCGGACUGGUGAGUAACACGUAAGCAACCUGCCUAUCAGAGGGGAACAACAGUUAGAAAUGACUGCUAAUACCGCAUAUGCCUUAGAAUCACAUGGUUCAAAAGGGAAAGGAGCAAUCCGCUGAUAGAUGGGCUUGCGUCUGAUUAGCUAGUUGGUGGGGUAAUGGCCUACCAAGGCGACGAUCAGUAGCCGAACUGAGAGGUUGAACGGCCACAUUGGGACUGAGAUACGGCCCAGACUCCUACGGGAGGCAGCAGUCGGGGAUAUUGCGCAAUGGAGGAAACUCUGACGCAGUGACGCCGCGUGCAGGAAGAAGGUUUUCGGAUUGUAAACUGCUUUAGACAGGGAAGAGCAAAGACAGUACCUGUAGAAUAAGCUCCGGCUAACUACGUGCCAGCAGCCGCGGUAAUACGUAGGGAGCGAGCGUUAUCCGGAUUUAUUGGGUGUAAAGGGUGCGUAGACGGGAAGUCAAGUUAGUUGUGAAAUCCCUCGGCUUAACUGAGGAACUGCAACUAAAACUGAUUUUCUUGAGUACUGGAGAGGAAAGUGGAAUUCCUAGUGUAGCGGUGAAAUGCGUAGAUAUUAGGAGGAACACCGGUGGCGAAGGCGACUUUCUGGACAGAAACUGACGUUGAGGCACGAAAGUGUGGGGAGCAAACAGGAUUAGAUACCCUGGUAGUCCACACCGUAAACGAUGGAUACUAGGUGUAGGG